rnacentral:lncRNA from 1 species
CUCCGGACGUUGCUUGGAUUGGAACAGGGUCAACAGCCGGAGCUCAGCUGCUGACAAAAGCCAAGCCCUCUUUCAGGUCAGUUAUCAUGUACAGUGUCCCUCAGUUGGAAUUUGUCUGAUGUUUCCUCGUGAUUAUAUUCAGGUUUGAAACCUGAGGUUCAGUGAGCCCUCGAGAGCUGGGCCUUGAACACAGCCCCUCUCCCACACAACAGAGGUAAGGGCACGAUAUACUUCUCUUUCUGCCAAGUGUGUUAAGGGGGCCUGCCCGCUAGCAUCAUAGCUGACCUGGUAGUUUGCUGGUGUUUUUAGAUGUGAGAGGCCCAAGGGCUGCAGAGAAGAGCCUUGGACCCUGAACCUAGUGAGAAUGUGGCCCAGGAUCUCAGGAAGGUCGUCUCUCAACCUUCUUAUUUGUAAAAAUAGUAGGAAAUCAUCCAUCCUGUGGUUAUGUAAAAGAAUAUCUUUAUUCUUAAGAAGCUUAUAUAUAUAUGCCUCACCUCUGCAAAUUCUGAAUUAUUUUUACAAGGACAAUUUUAUAGUCUUUUUUAACUGAACAUCCGUUUUAUACCCUGUUGUACAUCUGGUACACAUUCCUUGUAAGUGUAAUUUUAAUGACUUCCAGCAUUCCACUUUGUGUCAUAAUUUCUAUUCUCCUGUUGAUGGACACUCAAAAGGAAGAAGGGGAUUGAUAUUAACUCAGCAUGAACUUGGUACCAGGUGCUAUCCACCACAGGCUUAGCAUUAUCUUAUUUAACCCUCACGAUCCUACUAAGAUAAAUAUUUUUACCCAUGAUGUGUGGAUGAGGAGCUUAUACUAAGCCAACCUCAUUCAACUAGGGAAGAUCCAGGAUACAAUUCCAGGCUCUGACUCCUCAGCCCACGCUGUGUCUCUGCUCGUGCUGUCCCUCAGUUUUCUUCAUACCUAAAAGCUUUCUUUUUAUCCUCCUCUAACUUCGCAGCUUUUUUUUUUUUUCACAGCUCUUUUUCUGUACUGCAGUUUCUGUUAUAUUGUUAUUAAUUCCAUGUCUCAACUCUGAGGUUGGACUAUGGACUCUUUAAGGAUAGGUUAACAGCAUGUUCAUCUCUGGAAGAGACUCACCUCAACAAGCUUAGCCCAGUGCCUUGCAUAUAGCAGAAGCUCCCAUCACUUAUUCUUUCAACAAAUCCUGUAUCUAUGGAGGGCCUAGUAUGCCCCAGGCAGUGUUCUAGAUUCUUGGGACAUGUCAGCAAUUCAGUAUACAGCGAAGCUUACAUUCUGGGGGAGGGCGAUGUAUGAUAAAGAAUGUAAGGGAGUUCCCGUUGUGGCGCAGUGGUUAACGAAUCCGACUAGGAACCAUGAGGUUGCGGGUUCG